rnacentral:rRNA from 1 species
UACGUAGGGGGCAAGCGUUGUCCGGAUUUAUUGGGCGUAAAGAGCGUGUAGGCGGUUUGGUAGGUCCGUUGUGAAAACUCGAGGCUCAACCUCGAGACGCCGAUGGAAACCAUCAGACUAGAGUCCGGAAGAGGAGAGUGGAAUUCCUGGUGUAGCGGUGAAAUGCGCAGAUAUCAGGAAGAACACCCGUGGCUAAGGCGGCUCUCUGGUACGGUACUGACGCUGAGACGCGAAAGCGUGGGGAGCGAACAGG